rnacentral:rRNA from 1 species
AUCGAACGCUGGCGGCAGGCCUAACACAUGCAAGUCGAACGAGUGGCGGACGGGUGAGUAAUGUCUGGGAACGUGCCUGAUGGAGGGGGAUAACUACUGGAAACGGUAGCUAAUACCGCAUACCAUCGGAUGUGCCCAGGUGGGUUUAGCUAGUAGGGGGGGUAACGGCUCACCUAGGCGACGCUGCCUAGCUGGUCUGAGAGGAUGACCGGCCAAACUGGAACUGAGACACGGUCCAGACUCCUACGGGAGGCAGAAGUGGGGAAUAUUGGACAAUGGGCGCAAGCCUGAUGCAGCCAUGCCGCGUGUAUGAAGAAGGCUUUCGGGUUGUAAAGUACUGUCAGCGGGGAGGCGUUACCCGCAGAAGAAGCACCGGCUAACUCCGUGCCAGCAGCCGCGGUAAUAC